rnacentral:tRNA from 1 species
GCGCCGAUAACUCAAUCGGAAAGAGUACCGUUCCUCUAAAGCGGGAGUUGGGGGUUCGAGUCCCUCUCGGCGCGCCA